AUCUAAAUAGUUUAAUAAAAAUAUUAGUUUGUGGUACUAAAGAUAUAAAUAAAGAUUUUAGAUU